rnacentral:lncRNA from 1 species
GUGUAGUGUAUAUGACAUAAUAAGUCCAUGAUCAAUAUUACAUAUAUUUUCUUUUCAGGAGCAGGAGAAAGAGGCAGGCUGGAAACGUGGAUGAACAAAUCUAUGCGAAUGUCAUGCGAGAGACCCGUCCUCCUCAUAAUGAUGAUGAUGAUGAUGAUGAUGAUGAUGAUGAUGAUGAUAUUCUAGACUACGAGAAUGUUCCGGAUUCGAGGAAGCAACACUGAGACUGUUGCCAAACAAAACAUCAACAACAGCUGGACAAAACACAGUAUGGAAAUUCUAUUCUAUUCUAUAAACUACAGACUACAUUUCUCCCAAAUUCCAAAUAAAAAUAUUGUAAUUUAGAGCA